AUCCAUUUUAUGCAAAUAAUCAUGGUAGAAUCCUCAAAGGUCUAGAUGAUCAGGUUAUAAAGAAAUAUAAAAUUGCAUCUAUCCUUGUGAAUGUGUGUGAAGAAUGGGAAGAACUCCUUGUGGAAGCUGACAGAAAAUAGAGGCUGGCGCUAUCAAUUGACGGGAAUGAUUUGAGAGCCUUGUACAAUUGAGGUCUUGCCCUCUCCUUUCGCGCGCAGGUGAUUUUAGAUAUUGGACCAGUAAGCGUUAACUGGCACCUUGACAUUGUUAUAAUUUUAUUGUUGAUUCUGUAUUGUGAUGCUCAGAGCUGCUUGGUUUGGCCCUUCUUGUGCAAGUGUCCAUAUAAUUAGCUCGAUUGGGAUUUGGACUAGGAAUAAACUUUCAGGAAGUAGCGUACUUCUGAACAAUUUAACACUAUCGUUUUGGAUUUCAGGAAGCUGCUUAUGAUGCUGACAAAGUGUUCUUGGCUGCAAUUGACAAAUUUGAUGCCAUGUUGUCCGAAGGCAAUGUCUACGCACCAGAUGCCUUGUAUAGAUGGGGUGUGGUAUUGCAGCAGAGAUCUCGUUUACGGCCAACUAAUAGCAGGGAGAAAGUGAAGUUGCUGCAACAGGCAAGGAGGCUAUAUGAAGAUGCAGUUCACACGGACUCUAGCAAUCUUCAAGUAAGAGAAGCCUUGUUGUCAUGGAUGUCUGAGUUUAAUCAUAGGUUCUUGUGAUCACUUUGAAGCAGGAGUUGAUUGUUUCAAUGCCCUUUAUUUGAAUUCCUUCAUUCUUCCUAGUUUUAGUUCUCCAGCUAGGUUGUAUUCUAUGUAUAGAGAUUAAUACCCAGAUAAGAAAAUAAAACGAAUAAGGUCUUCCUAAUCUGCUCGAGGCAACCACCAUCACUUCAAGCAACUGAUGAAGUCUCCUUUUCUUUUGUAGAACUAUGCCAUUUGUUUUUCGGGCAUGUUCCACCUGAAACACCAAUAAAUGACCUUGUUAAUGAAAAUUAUUGUUCUGUUCCUUUUACCUUUUUUUUACAAUACCUUUGAUCACACUUGGGAAACGACUCUUUGUUGAUAGAAGACAGUGAUUUUCCAUUGUAGAAAAGAACAUCUUGUGAUCAAACUUGAAGUCUUUACCUUGAUAUAAUGGUAGCAGUCUUGGUUUACAAGCACAAGGGACUUUUAUUUUGAUCAGUUGUAUUAUUAAUCUCUUUUUAAUUCUGCCCUUCUUGACUGGAUUAUACUAUGUGAAUUAUGACCGUCUAAACUGACCAGAUUGCAAAUGAGUGGACGGGUUUUAAUAUGCAUCUGAUGCGAAUUUUUAAUAUGAACUCGGCUGAGCAAAGUGACGAGGCAAAUGAGAGGAACAGAUAUGAUAUGCAUCCAUCUCUGACAUUUCAAACACUGUUAGCCAUUUUCAACAUUUUUUCCGAGUUAUUUGAAUGUAGUGAAUGCCUCAACGAGAAGUCAUAACGUCUUUGAAAGCAAAUCAAGUUUCUAAGCUCUUUGAUGCCAAAACGCUACUGUUUGCAGCAAAAUUCAUAUCAUCCACGCCCCUUGAAAUGCUUGUUUCUUUCGACAA